rnacentral:lncRNA from 1 species
ACUAAACCGGCCUCCACUUUGGUCAAUUACGCCCUAAGAGGCCGCCUGCUGGUCCCCCUGCCACGGUGCUGCUGCCGUCUCUACUUCAGACCAGUUAGCAGCAGUCAGGACUGUCAACCCUGCAGCAACUCAGAGCAGAAGUGUGAGCUCGACUUGUUUCGAAGCUUUCCCACCAUGGCUCGGAAAAGAGGCAGGAAGCGUGUUUCGCCCAGAGGUAUUCUCCAGUGUUCUCUGCCAGCCUUCGCACACCCUCUUCUCCUAAGAGAGGCCCCGCAGUUCACAGUGUAACUGCCCUGCAAAGUGCAGACAUUUUAAAGAGAGAUUUCACCCCUUCCUAUCGGCUAUCAGACUGCUGAAACAAUGCCUGUAAGAAACUGGAAGUUUUCCCAGGAAUCUCCUGCUGGGAGAGGUAAAGACAGAAGCCCUGACACUAGCCAGGAGAAACAACCAGGAAGAGUUUCACGUGUUUGUUUCUCACAAUGUUUUAGCUGCCUACAAGAAAGGGAUGGGUCUGUGUCAGGCAGAACCACACCUUGUCCAAGACUGGCUAGGCUUUUUAUUUGUUUCGGUGUUUUAUUUUUUAUAUUUAUUUAUAUGUUUGUUUUGUUUCUGCCUUCUGAGUUCUGGAAUUAAAGGCAUACACUACCAAC